AAUCAACGCUGGCGGCAGGCCUAACACAUGCAAGUCGAACGCCGUAGCAAUACGGAGUGGCAGACGGGUGAGUAACGCGUGGGAACAUACCCCUCGGUUCGGAAUAACUCAGGGAAACUUGAGCUAAUACCGGAUACGUCCGAGGUUUUGAUCGACCUUGGAGAAAGAUUUAUCGCCGAAGGAUUGGCCCGCGUCUGAUUAGCUUGUUGGUGAGGUAAUGGCUCACCAAGGCGACGAUCAGUAGCUGGUCUGAGAGGAUGAUCAGCCACAUUGGGACUGAGACACGGCCCAAACUCCUACGGGAGGCAGCAGUGGGGAAUAUUGGACAAUGGGCGAAAGCCUGAUCCAGCCAUGCCGCGUGAGUGAUGAAGGCCU
rnacentral:rRNA from 1 species